UACGUAGGGUGCAAGCGUUGUCCGGAAUUAUUGGGCGUAAAGAGCUCGUAGGCGGUUUGUCGCGUCUGCUGUGAAAACGCGAGGCUCAACCUCGCGCCUGCAGUGGGUACGGGCAGACUAGAGUGCGGUAGGGGAGAUUGGAAUUCCUGGUGUAGCGGUGGAAUGCGCAGAUAUCAGGAGGAACAGCCGAUGGCGAAGGCAGAUCUCUGGGCCGUAACUGACGCUGAGGAGCGAAAGCGUGGGAGCGAACAGG
rnacentral:rRNA from 1 species